ACAGGGAGACAACAAAAUGUUUAAUAUUAUUAUUUUGUCACCUUAGGUCGAUCGGUAUCUCACGUUUUUAAUUUAUUAAGAAUUUCAUUUCCUAAGUUUUUCUAGGUCACACCCAUCAUUUUUCCUGGGCCAUUAGCUCAGGUGGUUAGAGCGCACCCCUGAUAAGGGUGAGGUCCCUGGUUCAAGUCCAGGAUGGCCCAUAUCUCUAUGUUGGGGGUAUAGCUCAGUUGGUAGAGCGCCUGCUUUGCAAGCAGGAUGUCAGCGGUUCGAGUCCGCUUACCUCCACUGAUCACCACCUCUUCCAUAAUCGGUAGAAAGGAAAUUUUUUGAGUUGUGAUCAAAUUCUGAAAGAAUCUAGCUUCCUAAUGAAAUCAUUAAGAUGCUGGACUCAUUGAAUUAAUUUCAUUGUUUUCAGAGAACCUUGACAACUGCAUAGAUUAUUUUUAAAGACAAUAAGCAUCUUUAAUGAUGCAGAUUUAUUAUUUGUGCAAAUGCAUUAAUAACAAUUCUAUUAAGCUGAUGCUUCAAUAUUUGAAGUUAUU
rnacentral:tRNA from 1 species